rnacentral:tmRNA from 1 species
ACUCAUAGUUGCCAACGACGACAACUACGCUCUGGCCGCUUAAGGCCUAGCCCCGAACCCACUUGUGCCUGUGCUCGUGGAUGUAGGGUCAUCAUCACAGGAUAGGUUCCGGCGGCGACCCGCCAACCGGGGCUCAAACUUAGCGGGUGUGGGUGUCGGUGUGCUUCGCACGUUGUGUUGCCGCCAUCCGAGAUCAAACAACGGGCUAAGCAUGUAGUGCCGGGCAUGGAGUGCCUUCGGACGGCGGUUCGAUUCCGCCCAUCUCCACCA